rnacentral:rRNA from 1 species
GAUUCGAUGAGUUUGAUCGUGGCUCAGGACGAACGCUGGCGGCGUGCCUAAUACAUGCAAGUCGAGCGGAUCGAUGGGAGCUUGCUCCCUGAGAUCAGCGGCGGACGGGUGAGUAACACGUGGGUAACCUGCCUGUAAGACUGGGAUAACUCCGGGAAACCGGGGCUAAUACCGGAUAACAUUUUCCUCCGCAUGGAGGAGAAUUGAAAGGUGGCUUCGGCUACCACUUACAGAUGGACCCGCGGCGCAUUAGCUAGUUGGUGAGGUAACGGCUCACCAAGGCGACGAUGCGUAGCCGACCUGAGAGGGUGAUCGGCCACACUGGGACUGAGACACGGCCCAGACUCCUACGGGAGGCAGCAGUAGGGAAUCUUCCGCAAUGGACGAAAGUCUGACGGAGCAACGCCGCGUGAGUGAAGAAGGUUUUCGGAUCGUAAAACUCUGUUGUUAGGGAAGAACAAGUACCGUUCGAAUAGGGCGGUA